CCUUCCCCCUUCUGGGCGGGCUAGGAUCGUUGCCAAGGAAACAGGACUACCUCCAGUUUCCAGAGGCACCGCCCCUCCCUCCCAGGGAACUCACCGAUUGGUCGGUGCAGCGCGUGCUUUCACCGUCCCGCCUCCUCCCACUACACCAACUGCUAGGCGUUAAUGGUCGCCAGGGAACGCGAGGCACCUUUCUGAUUGGUUGCAGGGUGCGCAGGCCGGUUCCACCUCUUCUGUGCUUCAGAAGUGCUAGCGGGAGGAGUGGGAGGGACGUCCCUGGCGUCUCCCUUCUUGUCGAGCCUGUGCUUUCAGACAUUUUCCCGCCCUCGUUUACCCUUCAUUAGGUUUUAUCUUUCUGAAGAAUGAAAGACAAGGCAUCUGAGGAAGACACCCUUGAAUCCCCAGUCUCUUCUCUCACUCUCUUUCCCAGCACUUUCCUUCUUCCCACAGGUUCCAGGUGCCGAAGUGGCCAGUCGGGGGGGAUCCUGCCGCAGAAAGAAGACAAAGGAAAGGAGGAAACUACUUAGGAGGAAAGAUGGCAUCUUCCAUUAUCCUGAAAGGAGAUGAGAACAAGAAUUUGGAGAAUUCCAAAGGAGAAAAGGCUGGAGAGACGCGAUCUCAGUUCUCAGUAGAGGCUUACAGACAGAAUCACAGAUAGAGAUACCUUCCUACAAAUAAAGCAGGAGUCCUUUUCUGCCCUCCAGAGGAUCAGCUUCCAGCUCCAUGCCUCUCUCCCAUCCCACUGUCUGUCCUAAAACCUUCAUGAAGAAUGGCUCACAGGGUCCAGCACUAGAGGGCCCACACGGGCAGAACACCCUACAAGUGCAGUGAUUAUGGGAAGAGCUGGACCUGGGCCACCUCCUGGUCAUCCCCAAAGCACACAAAUGAGAGACAAAAGUCUCCUUCAUGAGACACUUUUCUCUGACCUCCUACCUGCUUACCCACCAGAAAAUUCCCACAGGAGAGCAGCCGUCCCCUGCAAAGUAUGUGGCGAGUCCUCCAGCCCCAGCUCUGACAUGGUCCCUGCCUGCACUCUUCAUAGCGUGGGCCACAAGCCCCACGAAUAGCAGAAGUUCGGCCAGGGCUUCAGUCUGCUCUGGCACCAGUAUUUCCAUGUGGAAAUUCAGUCUCACUCGUACCUGGCUGACUUCCAGGCAGCCUUCUCCAGCACCUAUCCUCUCUAUGCAAUGGACCUUCGAGAGGCAGCCAGCCUCUGCCGGCCACAUGCCCAUAGCAGGGAUAGGCUCUAAGCACAGGGAAGACUCUGAUGAGGGUUCCAACUUGACCAAGUGCAUGUCCUGAGUUGGGCAGCCACUUUGUCCACAGCAUCAUCCCUCAAUGUGCAGCAGCACUGGGGCAGUGUGCAGCCACAGUUCAUGGUCCAACCAACUUGGCCCACACCCAAGAGAGUCCUGACAAAGGUUCUGUGUGAGAGGGGCUUCUGUGUGAUCUGCUUCCUCCCUGCAUGCAAAGGACAAGCCCUCUAAGAGGGCUUCUGUCAGAUGCUACAAGAGAUGCCCAGGUAUAUUCAAGAAGCUUUGAGGUACCCAGAAAGAGACCAAUCAUGACACAGGCCCCUUUGGGAAGAACAAAGGAAAUGGGAGUCUUUGUGUAUGGCGAAGUCAUCAGCUGGCCUGACACAUUUGGAACAGGCCCUGACACCAACCCCUACUCUUGUAACGCUAAGAGCAGCUAGAAAAUAACAUUUUUACGUUCAGAGCAGUGGUUCUCUCAGACUUCAGCAGCCAUAAGAUUCCAUUGCUGGAGAGACAAUAGACUAGGGACAGGGCCCAGGGAGCUAGCUGCAUUUUGAAGAGAUAACUGCAUGUGAUUCUGUGGCAGAAAGGCCUUACUUUGAAAAAUAUUGGCCUAGAGCAGGUUUUAGCUUCUGAGUCAUAAACGUCUUUGCAUGCACUGUUCCUAGAAAGAUACACAUAAACAAAUAUUCCCCCCAAAUUUAGGGGUCUUUGGAGCUCAGAUCAAUACUUAUCCUUUACAUGGCUUGGACAAACUAGGAAGGGGCCAUGUGGUCAUGGCCUUGACCUCUCACUCUGGCCAUGUGGAUGGGGCUCAUGUUUUCAUUGAUGCAGACAAGCAUUUCUCCUGAUGCACCAAUGAAGCCCUAGGAAAACCCUCUUCCUGGCUUAAAUUGCUUCAAGGGCUGAGCCUCAAAAACCUGUGGUAGUGGAGAGAAAAGGGAGCCUUACCUUUAGGGGGAGUAUCCGUGCCAAGGAGUGAGGAGCCAAGAAGGGGGUGAGGCUGAGGCUUAAGCGUUCCAUGAUACUCAAAUAUUAAGUGGGGGGGAAAUUGGGUCACGAGGGCAGGAAGCAGAGGAGUUGGUUCUGGUUUGGGGGCCCUACGCAAGUCUUGAAAACUUAAGCGCACUCAGAGAAAGUAGUAAUUAUACCUUUAAUUGGCAAGCUCAGACAGGGUCCAGAUCUGGCUUUGAGGCUGACCUGAGAAGUGGUAUUGCAGGCUGAGUUUCCCCCAGGCAGUGCUGAGGGGCAGGGGAAGGAUGGGUUGGACACUGGCUUCUCUAGGGGAAUAAAAGCUGGUACAAAGGUAGCUACUACUGCCAAGGUGCCUCUCCUCACUUCCAAGGUGCCUCUCCUUAACUCCCACAUUCCCCCUGUGACAGGUGGCAUAUGAGCCAAUCCUCCUGGUGAAGUUUAGUCUAAGAGAGAUCUUGGUGGGGUCAGAUUGGAAGAUUAGGUUGGAAUCAAGUCAGUCCAUCACUUUACCUUAAGUGUCUUUUCCCCAAGUUUUGUACCUCUUCCUAUAGAAGUUUCUUUAGGUUGACAAAUCUGGUUUCUUCCUAAGGCCAGACACAGGCUGAGUUCUCAGAAGGGAAGUGCACACAGGCCACCGAGGACAUAAGUCUUUGCUACUUCUACUUGAGGGGAAGGGUCAUCCUAACCAGAGGCAAGAAAGGGUCUGCACAUGGCUGGCUGCUUCCAUCACCUGGACAAGGCUGGACUCUGAGCACAAAGGAAUGAGUGGUAGAUGGAUGAUGGAGUCACAGGGUGAUGGGGGAGGGAUUCUGUGCAGAGCUUGGGAAUAUAGAAUAGUACAGUUCCCUCUGGCCACUAACCCCAAAUGUUCCAGGCCUUGUCCCCCUUUGCUGGUGAUGGAGGUCCUGAAGAGAGUGAAGAUGCGAGCUUUGCUUUUGUUGGCCCUGGAACUCUCAUCUAAGGCUGCUUUCUCCCUUGCCUUGUUGGCUAUGUGGCUGUUUUGUCACUCAUCUUGUACCUGGGCUUCACUAACACUGGGCUGCUCUGUCCCUAGUAUAGGUCAGUGCCUGGGUGUCAUCUCAGAGAGGGGGGAGAUGCUUCCAGAACCCUGGCUGAGACACUGACAAGGAACUCAGGAGUGGUAUGGUAAAGACAGCAGGAAACAAAGAAUCCUAGCAUCUCACUCUGUGUGUGACCUUGGACAGGUUGCUCAGCUUUCCCCAGUCUCAGUGUCCCCAAAUGCAAAAAGAUGGAAAAGCUAAGAUCUCUUCCAGUUCAAAAAUGUGAUGAGGCCCUCCUGGCUGGGCCUAGAAUAGCAAAGCCUGAGCCAUAGGGCUCUCCGAGGGAGGCCCAAGGAGUACUAGAGGGGUCUCUCAGGCCCCUGCCCUUCAAAAACAGGAAGUGCAGGUCAGCUGAGUGGUGCUGAGGUGGAGACACCACUCCAUUUGGGGCAAAACAUUCAGUCUUGACUGCCUCUUCCUGAUGGGCUGUCCUCUCCAAGCAAGAUGCUUCCUUCCAUAUGCAAUUAUGAGGGAGAAAUGAGUUGAUGGACAAGACAGUACUUUGUAAACCAUAAAAUGCAAUACGAGCCAAGAUCUAACAUAAAGCCUCCUUUUACUUCUCUCCUGCCACCCUUUUACAAAUAUGCUCUCUACCUGAAUCCCUGAUUCAAGAACAAUUGAAUGCUGUAGACUACAGUUUGCAAACUCAAAUGACUACAGGAACCCAACAGGUCAUGGAAAUGAGUAGCAAAAUGCCAGAUGGAGAGGGCCUGCUUUGCCAGAGAUGUUGGCGAGCCAUGAUGAGUGCCAGCUGACACUGGUCAGGAGGUGACAAGGAGUGGCAGGCAUGCUGAACUGGAGAGCCUGGUCUCCAUCCAAAGGGGCAACUGCCCCUCAGCUCCCACCAAUUGUGGUUUUGUGGGAGCUCAGGUGGAGUUGCCAAAUCUUCGGAUUUUUCAGGAGAGGCCAGAAACCUGGUUUUCUGUGUGAAAUAUCCUGAUUUUUAAAUCUUAACCAAUAACUCAUAACAUUUAAAAAUGCUGGCUGGGCUAAAAAAAAAAAAAAAUUAAA